CCUGAUUACAUGAAAAUCAGUUACAAAGCACUUCUAGAUCUCUACAACGAUUAUGAAACAGAGUUGUCAAAUGAUGGUAGAUCAGAUGUUGUUCACUAUGCAAAAGAAAGAGUAUGAAUCAUGACUUAUUCCAGUUAACCAGUUUAUCAACCAAUUGUGAAGCUUUUUCUCCCAAUUUUUGUUUGUAAUGAAAUUUAUUCUUUGAAGAAGUACGGACGUUUGAAUAUAUAUCUUUUGGUUGUUAUUGAUAGAUGAAAGAAAUUGUGAGAAACUAUUUUGUGGAAGCAAAAUGGUUCAUUGAAGGAUAUAUGCCGCCAGUCUCUGAGUAUCUUAGCAAUGCAUUAGCUACUAGCACUUAUUACUUGCUUACGACAACAUCCUACUUGGGCAUGAAGUCUGCUAACAAGCAAGAUUUUGAAUGGUUGGCCAAGAACCCUAAAAUUCUUGAAGCCAAUGUGACCUUAUGCCGAGUCAUAGAUGACAUAGCCACCUAUGAAGUUGAGAAGGGUAGAGGUCAGAUUGCAACUGGAAUUGAAUGUUAUAUGAGGGAUUAUGGGGUAUCAACAGAAGUAGCAAUGGAAAAAUUUCAAGAAAUGGCUGAGACAGCAUGGAAGGAUGUAAAUGAAGGAAUCCUUCGACCAACUCCCGUGUCUACAAAGAUUCUCACACGCAUUCUCAAUCUUGCUCGCAUUAUUGAUGUCACUUAUAAGCAUAAUCAAGAUGGAUACACUCAUCCCGAAAAAGUAUUAAAACCUCAUAUUAUAGCCUUGUUGGUGGACUCCAUUGAAAUUUAAAUCAUCAAUUAUUGUGUACAUCUGGGAGCACUUGGUUCCCAACCCCUCAAAUUUGUAUUUGAUUGAUGUUUGAUGCCUUGUUGGUAACUCUUUACUAGGGUAAGAACUGCUGGCGAUAGAUGUUGUUAUCGUGCAGUGAAGUUACCUCUCUAAAUUUUUUUAUAUCAGUAUUGACAUAUGAAAUAUAUUACUUCUUUUUAUAUAUGCCUACUUGUUUUAUGAGGUUUGAGAUAAAAUCUAAAGCAUUUCUGAAAAUGGUUUGGUAGACUACACCUCAGCCGUAGCAACAGAUCCUGAUAUAAUAAGCCCAUGAUAAGAAAUCAAAACAUAAAAGAAAACUUCCCAAAUAUAAUAAACCACUUAAAAUUAAUACUACGUAAGAAUCAACCAAGUAAGACGGCAAAAAUUAAUAUAGCCACAGUACAAGUAUUAGUACCACUAAUUGAGGUGUACUAGGAGGGGUAAUUUGAGCCAUAUUAGUGAGUCUAUUUUAUUUAUAUUUAAUUAAAUGGAUCACUCAUUGUUAGCAACAAAUUUUUGUAAGCGCUGAAAAUUAACUGCAAGCAAAAUAAAUAAAAGAAAAUGUGAUUUUUAUUGAUGAAUCGUUGUGAGUACAAUUCUGUUGUUCUCUUGAUUCUCUCUCCUAAGCUUCUCCAAGAUUCGAGGGUCUUCAGUAGCGUACUUUUCGAAUUGUUGGAUGAUGUAAACCUCCUUGAGAUGUUGUCGAUCUCCGGGAACGUCGAAAAGCGCUUCGCCGUUUCAAGUCGAUCUCCGGGAAGAACUCCGUUGAUCACUCCUUUGAAGAGCUAUGUAGUUGAUGUUGCAGCUUUCUCCAAUUGCAGAAUGCUUGUUGAAAGGUGUUCUUAAUGCCUUUAGAAUGUCAUGUCUAUUCCCCUAUUUAUAGUUGUAGGGAGUGGACAAGGUUGCUUGUGAUUGGCCAAAGGCUGUCAUUUUGACACUUGGCGGAUUGUAAUUGGUUCUUGCAUUUGACUGGGAUUACCACCUCAUUUGGACACAUGGCGUCACCUUGUUGGUCUUGGAUGCCUAGUCACUGUGACACGUGGCGUGGGUUUGAGCUUCAAGGUGAAAUGGACCUUGGACUUGAAUUUAAUAAAAAUGGACUUAUUUAUUUGUAAAGCCCAAAUUAAUCAUUCAACCUAAUAAACAUGGAUUUAAUCCAAAUUUUAUAUGAAUUAAAUCCAAUAAAAUUUGUGUGUCUAUACUCAUUUAUUUUUAAAUAGAUAAAUAUGGACUUCAACCUAUUUAAGCUCAUAUAAAUAUGAACAAAGUGGAUAAAAUUAAAUAUGAGAAUUCAUAUAGAUCCAUGGAUCACCCAAUUAAAAUAAAAAUUCCUAAUUGCAGUAAAAAGAAAAUGAAAAAAAAAAUGAGGGUGGGGCUAGGGUGGAGGUGGGGGUGCGAUUUUCUUUUAAUGAAAAAUUAUUAUUUAAAAAAAAAAAUAAUGUCAAAAAUAUCUUUAGCGACAAUUAAUUAACGGUAGUAACUUAAUUGCCACUAAUUAUGCAUUUUUAGAAGCAAUUAACACUCUUUGUAUAUGUCCAUAAAACCUUUAACGACAUCGGAUUUAAUGACAAUUAACUAAUGUCUGUAAAAACUUUAGCCUUCUUUAUUAAUGUGUAUAUUUAUCAUGCUAAAAAUUGUUUUUGUUAUAGUGGUGAGGUGGGGUGGUAGGGGUAUGAACAAAUUUGCUUUAAAGAUUUAAUAUUUUUUGUCUUUAGAAAAUUAAAAAAUCAUUUUAUCUAAAUCAUAUUUAAUCAAAUUCAUAUUUAUCCGUAUAUUAUAUGAUUGGAUGAUAGUUCAAUCCAUUUUGACUCAAUCUAUAUUCAAUUAAUCCAAUCCAAUCCACCCGUUUUUCACCCUAAGGUGUAAAGACAUAAUACUCUCUAUUUCUAACUUUUAAUUCAGCCCCAUUGUACUGCAGAUUCAGUUUGUAGUACAGAAAACAAGGUUUGCCCCAAAAUUUAAAGCUACUGCUUGAUAAAAGCUCAUUUAAAUUAGUACUGUUCUGUAACGAUUACAACUCGUAGCAUUAUGGGUAAAAAUUUAUCCGCACCAGAUGUUUAUAUCAGAUCAGAUUAUACUGCCUCUCCCAAAUGCAUAUCGCCACACUUAUGUAUGGGCACCAGACAGUCCACAACGACAAUGGAUAUGCUUUCUAGUUUCUAGUAUCCUCUCUCAAACAUGCAUGUAGCACUCCGAUCCAUAGGCGGAGAAAAAAGGGGCAAAAGAGUUCAUCUAAUAAAUCUUUUUCGCUCAAAAAAUUACAUUAUAUAUAUCAUGUUUAAAUUAUUUAUUAGGUAGAUGUUGAACUCAAUUCAACCUGAUUCUACUUAAAGAAAGGAGGGGCAUAAGUUCUUUUGUUUGUUGUAUUUAUUUCUUUAUAUUUUGAAUUUACUUAAUAAAAAAAUAUUACACUACUGCAUAGUACACUUGAGAACACCCAUAAAAUAUAGUUUUAUGAAGUUAAAAAGAUCCAGAGGAAGAUGUUGUGAGGUCCAGCCUUAUAUCCCAUCUUUUAAGGAAAAAAAUCUUUCUUUGAAAAUAUUUGCAGCAAAUUUGACAAACUUUUGUUGAAAUUGGCUAUCGGCCAAUUAAUAUAAGGUGAAAAAAUGGGCAAACUUCAUGCCUAUAGGCUAUAAAUAGACAUCUACAUCAGUUUAAACACGCGAGGGGAAAUCAAAAGAGGAUUUCUUUAUUUUGAAAAAUUUUAUAUCAUUUUUCUUUUAUUAUAUUUACGGUAAUUUUUUUUGUGUUAUUCCUCAUUUUCCCAGCAGAUGCCACGCACUGUAGGAUAAACAGAGGAACCAUGGAAUAUAAAAUUAGAAUUAAAAACAUACAAUACAAUAUAUUAGUAGGAGUAGAGGUGACAGAAUGAGUAAUUGAUAUGGGUAUUCAUUGAUAUGGGUUAAAAAUGUUUAUUCAUAAAAGAAAAAAUAAUAAUUUGGGUACCCAACUCAUUUAAAAAUAAGUAAAAAUGAAUAAUACUCAUAUUUAUCCAUUUAAAAGUGAUAGUUAAAUGGAUAAUACGGGUAAAAAAUGUUCAUUCAUAAAAGAAAGAAAAGUGAUUAGGGGUGGGUGGUAAAAAAUAUUUUUUUCUAUAAAAUUUUAACUUUUUAUAUAUUUUUUGGGAUAGAGGGGGGCUGGUAGGGAAUGGAGUGGUAAAAAAAAAAUUCAAAUGUUUCUUUUUAAAAAAAAUAAUUUUUUUUGGGAUGGGGGUAGGGGGUGUGGGGGGGANNNNNNNNNNNNNNNNNNNNNNNNNNNNNNNNNNNNNNNNNNNNNNNNNNNNNNNNNAGGGGGAUUGGGUGAAAAAAAGAACUUGUUAAAAAUUAUUUUUUUGUAAAAAAACAAACUAUUUUUUUUCCGAUUUUUUUACAUUUUUUUGGGAUAGGGGGUGGAGGAUGGUAGGGAGGGUGGAGUGAUAAAAUAAAAUUUAAAAAGAUUUUGUUUUUAAAGCUUUUAACAAGAUCUCUACUAUAAUAUGUAUAUCCUACCCAUAUUAUUCAUUGAAUAACUCGUUUUUACCCAUUUAAAAUAUAAAUAAAGUCAAUCCAAGUUAUUUUUAAUCGACUUAUAUUUGACUUGAUUCGUUCGUUUGUCACUUCUAAGUAAGAGUAAUAUAGUCAGGUAAGGAUGACGGAAAAAAAAAAAAUAAUCAAGGAUGACGGCAUGCAUUCAGUAACAGGAAUUUGGAAAACGUAGACGUCCCUCCAUCCAUCCAUCCAUCCCAUAUAAGUUAUUUAUCUUACUAAAUUAAGAAAAUAUUAAAAAAAUAAAUUCUAUAUUAUUCUUGCAAUUAAUUUUUUUUUAAAGUAUUCACAUUUAUUUGUAAAAUUUCCUAAAAAAUUAUUAAGGAGUGAAUUAAUAAAAUUAUCUUUUCAUCUAUAAUUUUUUAAUAUACUUGCAAAAAAAAAUCAACUUAAUAAAUUUAAUUUAAAGUAGAAGAAUAGGCAUGUUAUUUGUGGGCGGAGCCAUUUUUUAUAAAGAGUGGUUUGAUGCAUAUUUUUUAUGGAAAAUUCAUAUGGUAUACAUGAAGUUGAAAACUAGACAGUCUUCGCUAAAUAUGACUCAGAAGAAAUUACACAUUCUUUCCUAAAUUUUUAGCUCCGCCACAAAUGUUGUUCACAAGAAUUUAGAUACACGGUAAAUUAAAGUUUCAUGCUGCAAACAUAUAUAAAUAAAAUCCAAAAAGAAAAAAAAAUAUGUUGUCAUAUUAUAAAGGAGUAUUAGAAUAUAAUAGGCUCAGUGGCGUAGUUGAACACUUCUAUCGAAAAAUCAUACUUAUUUAUAGCAAAUUAUAUAAAAUAUAUAGUUUAAAAUUAUUUUUCACAUAUAUAUAAAAUUCUAAACAUUCUUAAAGAGAAAAAAAUUUCACCUCUGUAAAAAAUAGAACAACUAGUGAUUAGUUAUCAGUAUAUUAUGACCCGUUUGGCAAUAUAUUUUCAAGUAAAAUUUGGAAAAAAAUUUGACAAAUAGUGUGUCCAUAAAACUUGCCAUUAUUUUGGUAAUUCCAAAUACUAGUUUUUCUAGUAUUUGGACCAAAUCUCAUUAUUUGGGCCAAAUCUCAUAUUGGAGCUUUUAAAAAUUCAAAUUCUACACGAAACUUUUAUCUUUUACAUAAAUACCCUCUACUUAUUAACACUAAAACACUCACUCCGAACUAGCACAUUGCUCCAGUGUCAUGGGCACUACUUGUUAUUUGUUGCAACGUAGAUCCAACUAACUUGUUGCGGAAGUCAUGAAUCAUGUUACGUCGACAUUUCUAUAAUUCUAUCUUGCUAAGUAAUACAAUACAAACUUAUAGUUAGAUUUGAUAGUAUCUUAAACUUAUGGAUGUAAAUCAUAUUUCUUAAAAAGUGAAAUAUGUUUCUCCAAUACUGGCUAAACACAUGGUGAAAUUUCACCCAAAUCUUCACUCAAGUAAUAAUUGUCAUACUUGAAAUCUAUGAUCAAACACUAGCAUAGUUAAGUGUGGCAACCCCCAACAUGACUACUACAAUGUAUGAGAAAAUAAAUAAAUUCAACACAUAAUAUUUCAGAUAAUCAUUCAAUUAUUCAUUCUUCUCUUAAAAAGUUAUUCAGAUUUUAAUUCUUCACACAAAAGUCAUUUUGACUAUUAAUUUUUCUCUUAGAAAUUUAUUCAACUUUGAUUUUAACUCAGUAAUCACUCAAUUAAGAGUAUUUUUCUUACAAAGUCAGUCAAACUAUUUAAUUAAUUUUCUAUUAAAAUUUAUCGACAUAAAAAAAAUUAAAUGAAAAUUUUGAAUAAAAUAAACGAAUAUCUAUUUAAAUCAUACAUUUUAAUGACUUGGUUCGCUGAAAAUAUAAUAUUAAUCUUUUUAUUCUAAUAUUAUUCUCCUCUAAAUGUAAUAUUGAUCUUUUAGAGCCUUGCUGAAGUCUUCAUCACCUUAACUCCUUAAGCAACUGUGAAGCUACUUCCUGCGAUAAUUGUAGUAAAUUACUUGUGGGAGUAUUAAGAUAUUAUUUUUUAUCAAAAUAUUAAGUAUAAAAAAAAAUUUAUCUGUAAGUUGCCAAACAUUUUUAUAAAGUUUUAAGCCAUCACUAAUAAGUUGUGUCGUGACUAAGAGUCUAUUUGGCAUUACUGCUAAAAAUAACUAAAUUUUAGAAAUAUUUUUUUUAAAUGUCAUUUUAGAAAAAGUGCUUUUGAAAAAAAAAACAAUUUUUGUUUGGCUAAUUCAUUUGAAAAAUACUUUUCAUAAGCAAAUUGUGUUUUGGCUGAUUUUUAAAAAAAAGUGUUUUUGAGAGUUAAAUUACAAAAAGGACAACUAUUAAUGUACUUUUAAUAUUAAAAUUAUUUAUAGAGAGAAACUAUUUUAAAUAUCUAUUAUAAAAAAACUAAUCACUUUUUUAUUUUUAUUACAUUAAAAUGUACAUAUUUAAAUUUUCAGUCAAUAUUAUACAUUUGUUGGGAGGCUGAAAUCUUUAAUUGUUAUUUUUUUUUCUUUUUUCUAAUCUUCCAAAAAUAUGUUGUUACCUUUUUCUAAUUCUGCAAAAUAAUAUGUAAAAUAAUAUGUAAUAUAUAAAAUAAUAAUAUAUAAACUUAAAAUAAAUUACAAAAUUAAUUAUAUAAAAAUAAAAAUAAAAUUCUUAAAACUGCUUGUGCUUCCGUCUAAAACACUUUUACUAAUUUAUUAAGCACUUGAUUUUUCAACAAAUUUUUUUUUUCUCAAAAUAAGUGUUUCUGGCCUCUCAACAGAUAACAACAAUGUCAAACAAACUCUAAAUUAAUGAAUUUUGGAUUAAAAAUCAAAGAUGAGUGAGUUUAUGAGAGAAAAGUUCAUAAUUGAAUUACUAGGUAAGAUAUCAUCUCGAAUUUCAAUCAUGAAAAAUGGCUAUGACAAAUGCUCUCACCAUUCAUUUAAUAUUAUAAAUACUCGUUACCUUCUCUUAAAUUCUAUAGUACAAAGAAACCUAACAAAGAAAAAAGAAAUGAAAGGAAAGGAAAUUUUCUCUGUUCUACGUAAGCUAAGAGUAGUAGAAAAGUCUCCAGCUGCUGACUUCUCUCCUAGUCUUUGGGGUGAUCGUUUCCAUUUAUUUUCCCUUGACAAUAAGGUAUGUAUUUUGUACAUGUAUUUCUUAUCUUGUUAAAGGAGAUUCAUUUCUGACAUUUUCUUUUUAAAUAUAUUUGCAGGUUGCUGAAAAGUAUGUUGAAGAGAUUGAAACUUUGAAGGAACAAACAAGGAGUAUAUUAAUGUCAGGAAAAACAUUGGCUGAAAAGUUGAAUCUCUUUGAUAUUGUUGAACGCCUUGGAAUUGCUUGUCACUUUGAAAAACAAAUAGACGACAACAUUGAUCCUAACUUUGAGGCUCAUGAAUACAAUGAUUUAUGCAUUUCAUCCCUUCAAUUUCGACUCCUAAGACAACAUGGCUACAAUAUUUCUCCAAGUAAUAUAUCUAUCAAGUUCUACUUCAUUAAUUUCUUGUUAUAUCUUUAGUUUUGUUUUUCCCUAAUUAAAUGUACAAGGACUAACUUGAACCAGAAAUUUUUAACAGAUUCCAAGAUGCAAAGGGAAAUUUAAACAAAUCCAUUGGUAACAACAUCAGGGGUCUAUUGAACUUAUAUGAAGCUUCACAUGUAAGGACUCAUGGAGACAACAUCUUAGAAGAGGUGCUUUCAUUUUCCACUGCUUAUCUAGAAUCUGCAGCUCCACAUUUGAAGUCACCUCUGAGUAAACAAGUGACUCAUGCCCUUGAGCAAUCUCUCCAUAAGGGCAUUCCAAGAGUCGAGACACGCUACUUCAUCUCCAUCUAUGAAGAGGAGGAAUUUAAGAAUGAUGUGCUGCUUCGAUUUGCCAAACUGGACUUCAACUUACUUCAGAUGUUGCACAAACAAGAACUAAGCGAAGUAUCAAGGUACACUAAUAAUUUACAUAAAAAAUAUAAAUUAUUUGUUGAUAGUAAUUUCUAAGAUUGGUACUUAUUCUGUAGGUGGUGGAAAGAUUUAGAUUUUGUGACAACCCUUCCAUAUGCUAGGGACAGAGCAGUCGAGUGCUACUUCUGGACAGUGGGAGUGUAUGCUGAACCUCAAUACUCUCAGGCUCGUGUCAUGCUUGCUAAGACUAUAGCAAUUAUUUCAUUAUUAGAUGACACGUUCGAUGCUUAUGGCACUGUAAAAGAACUUGAGGUCUACACUGAUGCCAUACAGAGGUAUGGACUACUUCUCAAACAUUUUAUCAUUUAAUUAGAUGAUCCCAUAAAGGUGGGCGAACUGUCCAUUUUGGUGUGUGUUUUUAGAGAGGGUCCCUUUUGGUGUUUAAGGUUCAAAAAGUGUCCGUUUUGGUGCCGGGCUCAGGAAAAGACCAUAUCAAACAACAUAUUUAUGUAAAAUUGUAUAUAUUCCCCCUCCUCCCCCCCCCCCCCCCCUACCAAUUUGUAAUUGGAGACAAGCCUUGACGUCAAACACUAGAUGUUUCUCCUUCUUCCUAUGAUGUAUGUUAUGUUAAAUUGAACUUGUCAAAUUCAUUUGCUUUUUCAUUUAUUAGGUGGGAUAUUAGCCAAAUUGAUCGGCUCCCAGAGUACAUGAAAAUCAGCUACAAAGCACUUUUAGAUCUCUAUAACGAUUAUGAAACAGAGUUGUCAAAGGAUGGCAGAUCUGAUGUUGUUUAAUAUGCAAAAGAAAGGGUAUGAAUCGUGAAUUAUACUGGUUAACUCAAUAUUAAUCAGUUUUUUUUUCUCCUCAUUUUUGCUUAUAAUGAAAGUUAUUGUUUUGAUAUGUAGUGAUGGUUGAAUGUCUUUGCUUGUUGUUUGACAGAUGAAAGAAACAGUGAGAAACUACUUUGUGGAAGCCAAAUGGUUAAUUGAUGGAUAUAUGCCACCUUUUUCCGAGUAUCUUAGCCUACGUUAGUUGCUAGCACUUAUUACUUGCUUACAACUACAUCCUGCUUUGACAUGAAGUGUGCUAACAAGGAAGAUUUUGAAUGGUUGGCCAAGAACCCUAAAAUUCUUGAAGCCAAUGUGACCUUAUGUCGAGUCAUUGAUGACCUAGCCACAUAUGAGGUAUACAUUGCAUCAAAUAAAGUUACAUAUAUGCGUUUACCUAGUUGCAACCAUGAAGUGAUAAAAAUUGAUUUCAUACUUCUACGAACACAUUCUAACUUCCAAUCCAGGUUGAGAAGGAUAGAGGUCAGAUUGUAACUGGAAAUUGAGUGUUACAUGAGAGAUCAUGGUGUAUCAACAGAAGAGGCAAUGGAAAAAUUUCAAGAAAUGGCUGAGAUAGCGUGGAAGGAUCUAAAUGAAGGAAUUCUACGACCAACUCCUGUAUCUAUGAAGAUUCUCACUCGUAUUCUCAAUCUUGCUCGCAUCAUGGGUGUCAUAUACAACCAUAACCAAGAUGGAUACACUCAUCCUGAAAAAGUACUAAAACCUCACAUUAUGGCCUUGUUUGUGGACUCCAUUAAAAUUUAAAGCAUCAAUUGUUGUAUACGGGAGCACUUGGUUACUAGCCCCUCAAAUAAGUAAUUGAUCUACAUUUGAUGGUAUAUCUGUAGCUAGUUACGGUAGCUAGGUAAUCAAAUAAUAAUAAAGAAUAUUCAAAGUAUCAAUUUCUUACAGGAAAUAAAUUAUAAUCUCAAUCAUUAAACUACUUAUAAGACGAAUCGUGAUACUAUACUGAGACACUUGGUUAAUCAUGUCCUUGUGGUCUAAUAAUGCAGGUCUAUUGAUCUAGUUGUCCAUAUUGACUAGCCUCAUCAAAAAUAAAAUUAUUGAUUAUGACCAUUUCAUUAUUUUAGCAAUUACUAGUACCUUUUUUCGCAUUCCUGGACUUUAUAAUGUCAUAGACCGGAAAUAAAAGGGAAAAAAAAGAGAGAGAUUUGGGGGAGGAGAACCAGGGAAGAGGCUGUGCAUGGAAUGGGCAACUAGUAAAAUUGUACAUCUCAUGCGCUGCCUCGUCCCUGUCUAUCCUCUCCACUUUUGAAUAUCAUUCUACACCAUAAUUACCUCAAUAUAUAGGGACUCCUUAAUUUCGCCAAUAAUGCUAAACAUUCCUUCCAUCUGGAGUAUACAUGAAAAGGCCUUUUCCUGAUGAAAAUUUUCAAUGACCAAAAGGUAAUUAGUGCAAUGGCUGUUUUAUGAUGGAGUAAGGACCAGAAGAAGAAAUAGUCAUAGUACAAGUGAUAGUACUACUAAUUGAGGAGUACAUACAUAGGACCCUUUCUGUUUCUAACUUUUAAUUGAAUCCCUGCAAUGGCUGUUUUAUGAUGGAGCAAGGACCAGAAGAAGAAAUAGUCAUAGUACAAAGUGAUAGUACCACUAAUUGAGGAGUACAUACAUAGGACCCUUUCUGUUUCUAACUUUUAAUUGAAUCCCAUUAUUGUACUGCAAAUUCAGUUUGUAGUACAAUAACAAUGUUUUCCCCAAAAUUAAAAGCUACUUUUAGAUGCCCAUUUAAAUUGACUUAUUUUAGGUGUUUUUAAGUCAAAAUAGAUUUUAAACAGUUUUGAAGUGUUUGGAUAAAGAGCCCGUUUGGAUUGACUUAAAAAAGCAAAUUUUUAAAGUACUGGAACUUAUUUUUAAAAUAAGUAGUUAUGUGUUUGGAUAAAAGUGUUGCAGUUGAAAAAAAAGUUGUUAAUGUGUUUGGCAAAUAAGUGCUGGUAAACACUUUUUUUUUUAUCAAAAUGUCUGAAAUACCCUUAAAGCUAUUAACAUGAUAAAAAGUUGAUUGAUUUAAGGUUUUUAUACUUAAAAAAAAUUAAAACAAAAUUAAUUUAUAUUUUACAUCCAUAAGUAAUAAUAUUUUCCUAUCAUUCACAUAUUUCUUUAUCAUCCCAAAUUAUUUGUAAGAGGAAUAUAAAUUUAUUAUUUAAGUUAAUUUUAUAUGCGCAACUUAUUGUAGAUUUUAAAAAUAUAUAAUUUGAAUAAAUCAAAGGAAAGAUUUUAAGAUUUAUUUUAGUUACAUUACAUAAGUAAUAAUAAUUGUCUUAUCAUUCACACAUUUCUUUUAUUCAUACACCAAAAUUUAUUUAUAAGAGGAAUAUAAAUUUAUUAUUUAAGUUAAUUUUAUAUGUGCAACUUAUUUUAGAUAAUAAUAAUAAUAAUAAUAUAAUAUUAUUAUUAGUAGUAGUAGUAGUAAUAGAGAUGUUAGGGUUAAUUCAAUAUGGGCAAUUUGGAAAUUGUAUAAAAGAAUAAAGGGCAAAAAGGUAUAUACUUGGUCAACAUAAAAGAGCUUUUAAGUUUUUUUUUUUAAAAAGCACCCCUCACCUAGUUUUUAGCUUUUGGCUUAAAAUAAGUCAUUUUUGACUUAAAAUAAGUUACUUUGAGAAUUGCCAAACACUCUAAUAAGUCAGUUUGACCAGCUUAAAAGCCCAUCCAAACAGGCUCAAAGUUAAAAAGUGCUUAUAAGCACUUAUUUUAAAGCCAAAAUAACAAAAAUAAGCCAAAAGUCAUAAGUUAAAAAUCUUAACUUAUGGCUUUUGACUUAUAAGUCAUAAGCCAAAAGUCAAUCCAAACAGGCAAGCUCUUUUAAAUUACUAAUACUCACAUAGCUCAUACAAGUAAUAUUUUUGGAGACACCCUUCGCCUACGACCUAAGGUCGUACAUUCAAGUCACUAAGCAAGGAAAAAGAUGAGAUGCGUGUUGUGGGCACCAGACAGUCUCGCUGAUCCAACUACCACACAAUCCACUGUUAGCUACUGAUGUUAACAUCAUCAUAUCAUGCAACAACCAGCUAUGUUGCCUGUAUUUGGGAAAUUACAAAUGAUAAAUUUUAAAUAAUACUCCCUCCGUCCACUUUUAUCUGUUGUUUAUUUCUAAAAUUGAUUUUCAUUUUUACGAUUAUAUUUUUUCAUGUUUUAUCUUCAGCAUUAAAUAUUUUUUCUCCAAAUCAUUUUCCAAGACUUAAUACUAAACAUAAUUUAGUAUGAAUAGUUUGGUAAAAUAUUUAUAUCAAUAAUUAUUUUACUAAUGGGUAUGUCAAAUCAAAUGGUGACAAGUAAAAGUAAAUAGAGGGAGUAUAUUUGGAUUAUUGAAUUUUCUUUGUGCUAUAAAAUAAAAAUCAAAACAUGAAAGAAAAAAAAUGACAACUCAUAAGUUAAGGUUAGAAAAUACUGGGAAUUAAAUGAUAUUGUAGUGACAUAUAAAUUAAAUGAUUUUUAAAAAAAUAGUAUUUUAAUUUAAAGAAAAAUGUAUGUAGUAAUAUUAGUAUAUAUCUCCUAAAACUAAUUAUUAUGUAUGAAAAAUAAAAAUAAAUUGAUACAUAUAUUAAAUUGCAUCAUUAUCUACCCAAAUGUAGUUAGAAGUCGUAGAAUCUUGCUUCGACUUAAACUCAUAAAUAUUUAAAUAGUAGGAGAAAAAAAAAGAGGGAGAUGAUAAGUACUUGAAACGGAAGAUGGUAGAAAAGAAGUCUCGAGAAAUUGUGUAUAUUUCAACCAAAUAAAAUAGGAGUAGUAGAAAAGACUUAUUUAUAUUGAGAAUUUAAGAGUAGUAGAAAAUACUUAAUUUAAUUAUUAUGAAAUGUUAUGAAUAGUAGAAAAUACUUAAUUUAAUUAUUUAUGAAAUGUUUUUAUUCUUUUAAAUAAAAUAUUAUAAUACAACUCUACCAUUUAGAGCUUUCCACUUUUAAUAUAAAAUAUAAUGUAAUAAAAUGAAUUCAAUUUUUAAGAUUUUCACUAUUAAAAUUGUGAAAAAUUAAAGUUGAUUUUUUAGAAGUACAAAAAAUAUCAUAGAUAUUUAGUAGAACUUUCUAGAAUUUGGUAGAGUAAAUAUCUUUGAUAUUUAUACUUAAGAAAAAUAUAAAUAUUCUAGAUAAUUAGAUAUUUAUAGUAAAAUAUAGUAAUAUCUAGAUUCUUGUUACAUAGUUAGAAGACAAGGAUAUCUAGAUAUCUCUUGUAGAUGUAUCUAGAAUAAUUUCUAGAAGCAUCCGUAUACAAGUAUAAAUAGGGGUGACAUUAGGCAUUUGUAAUAAACCCAAGAAAACCCAAAAACAAAUCUAAUUCAAGAGUCUUCUUACAUAAACAAGUUCUCCUUUCUAGCUUCUUCUUCUUUAGUUGAAUCUUCCGAUCUUAGUUAACGAUCUUGGGCUAGCAAAAUGUUUCGCAAUUAUACAUUUCUUCUGCUAUUCUCUACAAAAAUAAUUAUACUACAUUAAAUUAUGAGUUUGGAUAUAAUAGGUAAUAAAUUUUAAUAUGUGAUAUAUAUAUAUACACACUCUAUACUGAAAGUUACAUCCGCUUCUGCGUGUAAGCCAAAUAAUUAAUGUGAAUCGGAGCAUCCGUAUUUUAGAUUUUUGUUAGUAACAAGAAUAUUACCGUUCUUGCAAUAGUCAGGUAAGAAAUUAAAUCAAGAUAAGCUUUGAUAAUAUUUACUUUCAGCGUGUGCUUUCUCAAACAUCUCCACAGUACCAAGGUCCAAGGACAGAGAUAGGAGCUCAAGGGUGUUAAUCUUAAAUUAAUAUUAAAAAUUACAGUGUAUAUACAUAAUACAAGGUUAUAUUCUGAAUCUCCUUAAUGAAAAUUUUAACUCCUUUACAAUAUACUACAUUCUAAAAAAGAUGGUUAUUUGGGUACACGGAUAAGGCGGGAUAUUUAAGUUUGGGAUUAGAUUGAUACUUUAUUCCUUACCACAUCCAACUUGGAAUUUUUCUAUGGAUAAACUAGUCCAUGAAUUAUAAUUGCGAGAUAAUUUUGUCCGCGUACAAAACGAAUAGCAAAUUCAUCAAAGUAGACCUAGCUACUCCACUGCAUAGCUACGUAAAGAACACAAACAUGAAGUAAAAAUAUCCGGAGGAAGACGAAAUGCACUGAAGGAAAAACAAAUGGCACAUCACACAAGGAAUAUAAAAUUAGUAGAAAAAGAUAUAUUAUCAUCAUAUCAUGAUAUCAUCAUCAUCAUAUAUAUAUAGAUAUAUAUAUUAUAAGUGGAAAGUUCCAAAGUGAAAAGUUAAAUUACCAUUUUGCUCCUUUUCUAAAUUAAAAUUUGAUUAAAUAUAAAUAUUUUAAUUACAUAAUGAUAGAAUUUGAAGUCCUUAAGCCCUUUAAUAAUUAAAUUAUCAUUUUCUUGAUAAAUAACUAAAUGAGUACAUUGAUAUUGCUUUUAAUAGUAAUUAUAAAUCUCAUAAUGGAAGAAGUUGAAAAGUUAUGAUAUGGAAAGUCAUUCAUCACUUUAAUGUAGAAAUCAAUUUCAGAAUUAAAAUUUGAAUUUAAAGGGUCAUUUCUUAAUGCUAUAUACGAACCAACUUACAAAGAUGAAAGCUCACAAUAGAAAAUUGAAUUAAGUUGUAUAAUUCGCUAUACAUAUGCAAAAAAAAACAGUUGUAUAAUCUGCUUUGGUAUACAUAUACAAAAAGAUCAAUUGUAUAAAGUGAGAGAGGCGAGUGAGAGAGCGAGAUCUGGGAGAGUGGUGAGCGAGAUCUGGGAGAGGGGAGAGAGGGGAACGAAAAUAUAUGUAUAUAUACAAUUUUCUCUCGCUUUAUACAAACACAAACGCAUUUUAUACAAUUUGCGUUUUUUGUAUAAAGUGAGAGAGGCGAGUGAGAGAGCGAGAUCUGGGAGAGUGGUGAGCGAGAUCUGGGAGAGGGGAGAGAGGGGAACGAAAAUAUAUGUAUAUAUACAAUUUUCUCUCGCUUUAUACAAACACAAACGCACUUUAUACACUUGCAUUUGUAUAAAAAACGAGAGAGGCGAGCGAGAGAACGAGGGUGGCGAGCGAGAUUCACCAGGAGAGAGGUGAAAUAGUAACAGUUUGCUAUGAGGUACAAUUAAAUCAAACUAUAUUUAUAGCAUUUAAUUUGAAUUAAUAGUUUGCUAUUAUAUACAAUUUUCCCUAAAUUUAAUACACGUGUAGUAUUAAACAGUGAACAGUCUUAUGUUGAUAUGUUGUCUCUAACAAUAACAAAGUUUUCUUUUCAGAGCAUGAGGACUUUCUUUGCAAUAUCCUCAACUUUUGUUCUUGCUCUCUUUCUCCAUUAUAGAAUUUUUCUUUCAUGAAACAUUCAUGGGUGUUGAACUUGAAGUAUAGAUAUCAAUUUAAGGUAUAUGUAGAAACUUUCUUAUUGUGCAUUUAAAUGAGAACCAUUAAUCAUUUUUGUUAUUCAUUUUUGCACAUACUAAUAUAUCAUAUGUUUAGACCUAAUAACAUAAAAAUGUAACUCAUUAUUUUAGUUACCAAACUAAAUUUUGCAGGUUCAUCAAAUGUCUAAUCAUUUGACAUACAAUAAAGAAGUUAUUUGAAUACAUUGAUUGUUUAUCGAUUUUAGAUUAUAUUUUUUGUUUGAAUAGCUUGUGAUACUGAUUAAAAUGUGAUUUUGACAAUAAUUCAUACCUUUCACAGGACUCACAUGCAAAACACGUGUCCAGGACUAGUAUUAUUAAAAGUGAAAAGCUUCAAAAUGAAAAGUUGAAUUACUAUUUUACCCCUAGACUUAAUUAAAAUAUUAAAAAAUAUUUAAAAAAAUUAAAUUAAUUUAAUUAUUCUUUUAAAACCCAAACAUGAUGAAUUUGAGUAAAUUAAAUCCAAUAUAGCCCAGGUUCAUUUAACUAAUAGUUCAUUUACUUUUAAUAUGACAACGUUUUAGGCUUUUAACAUUCUCUUUGAAUGUAGGUAUAAUGCAUUAAGUUUGGAAAUUAAAUCUUUAUUUAAAAAAGAAAAAAACAUCUCAUAACAAUUGGUCUUUUCUACUACUUCAAACAUCUUAUAAUAAAGUGAGUCUCUUCUACUUCUCCUAACAUCUCAUAAAUAAAUUGAGUCUUUUCUACUAUUCCUAACAUCUCAUUAUAAAUAAGUCUUUUUUACUAUUUCAUUUGGUUAAAAUAUUCACAAUUUCUUGCGCCUUUUCCUCCACCAUCUUUAGUUUUAGGUACUUAUCAUCCCCAUCCCCUACCCCCUUCCCCAUCUUUUUUUUUUUGCUUACUUUCUUAAUAUUCAUAUGUUUGAAUCGAAACAAAGUUUUAUGACUUCUAACCACGUUUGGAUUGAUCAUGAUGCGAUUCAAUAUAUGCAUCAAUUUAGUUUUUAUUUUUCAUGCAUAAUAGUUAAUUUUACAACAUAAAUAUUUUUUAUUACAAUUGUAUUUAUCUUUAAAUUAAAGUACUAUAUAUAUCACUAAAGUAACAUCAAAAUUGCAAGAACUUCUAAUCUCAAUUUAUGAGUUUGUUAUUUAUUUUUUAUUGUAUUGCUUUGAUUUUUAUUUUAUAGCACAUAAAAAGUCUAAUAAUAUAUAUGUCAUUUAAAAUUUAUCAUUUGUAAUAUAAAAUUUAUUUUAAAUAUUUUAGGAUAAAAUAUACAAUGCAUGUUCCCAGAGACUAAUAUUAUAAAUAGUAAUAGUUAUCUUAGUUAGCAAAUAUAUUAGUACUAUUACAUAUAGUCAAGUAAGGAUCAUGAGGGAAAAAAUAGUCAGGGAUGACAACAUUAAGCAGACGAUGUUUCCGGUAACUUAGAGCCUGUUUGGCAUUGUUGUUAGGAGGUCAAAGUGUUUUUUUAUGAAAAAAAUAUAGUGUUUGGAAAAUUCUUAAAAUUGUUUUUAAAUGAAAGCAGAAGCGGAAACUGUUUUUCUGUUGUUAGAAGAAACUAAAAAUAUCUGCUUUUAAAAAAAAGCAAAAGCAGAAAAUUAUUUUCUUGAAGACUAAGAGAUAUCCCUCACAAGUCUCGUAUAUACAUAUUUACCAAUAUAUCCUUAUUAAUUAAUUAGCAUAUCUCAUAAGUUCGGUUAAGUUUCAAUCAAGAAUUUUUAUUUAUUUAUUUAAUAACUUUUUAUUUUUUAUUUUAUGUUUAUAUAUUAUUAUUAUUUAUUAUUUUAUGUUUUAUUUUACAGAAUCAUAAAUAAAUGUAACAACAACAUUUUGUAGAAUUAAAAAUAUGAAGGACUUUAUUUAAUUUUGUGGUGAAUUUUUGUAUUUAGUAGUUUAAUUUGUGGAAUGAUUUUUAAAUUUAUUUUUCUUGAUAUUUUGAAUUAUAUUUAAGCCAUCAUGUUGAUAUUAUAUUAAUAUUUUAUUUAUUUAUUUAUGUAUAAUAUUGAUUGAAAAUUUGAAUAUAAAAUAAUCUUAAUAUUAAAAAUACAUUCAUACUUGCCUUUUUUCGUAAUUUGACUCUCAAAACCACUUUUUAAAAAAGAUUAAUCAAACACGAUAUUCGUAAGAAGUUUCUAUAUACUUUCUUGUACAGUAGCUUUGUAGUCCCCAAGUUGAAGAAAUACAAAAUUCAGAAAAUUUCUCACGAUCCUUUCUAGUAUAUUUCUUUAUAUUCUUUCAGAAGAAAGGGCAUGCUGUUUACAAGAAGGUAGAUAAAAGUAGGCUGCAAGUAUAUACAAGUCUAACCAAAAAAAGUCAUGUUGCCAUAUUAUAUAUGAUACUUAUAUCUUUAGACCAGUACUGACUAUAUAGGAGGAGUAUUGUCAAGUGUGGCAACCGCCAACCGGACUACUACAGUAGAGUAUUAUAAAGAAUUUUAAUCGUGAAAGAUGGCUGUGGCAAAGGUUCUCACUUCUCACCAUUCAUUCUUUAUAAAUACUGUUAUAAUUCCAUCAUCACUUGUUCAAUUCUCUUCUACAAAGAUACAUAACAAACAAAAGAAAGAAAGAAAAUUCUCUCUGUUUUUUCCACAAGCAAAGAGUACACACACUAGAAAUGACCCCAGCUGCUGUAGUAAUGAGUAACUACGGAGAGGAGGAGAUUGUUCGCCCCAUAGCUGACUUCUCUCCAAGUCUUUGGGGUGAUCGUUUUCAUUCAUUCUCCCUCGACAAUCAGGUAUCUAUCUAUCUAUUCUGUACAUGUCUUUCUUAUUUUCUUGUCCUGUUGGACAUUCAUUUUAAUUUGAUCUUUUUAAAUAUAUUUGCAGAUUGCUGGAAAAUAUGCUCAAGAGAUCGAAACUUUGAAGGAACAAUCAAGAAUUAUAUUAUCUGAAUCUUCUCGAAGAACAUUGGCUGAGAAAUUGGAUCUGAUAGACAUUGUUGAGCGCCUUGGCAUUGCUUAUCAUUUUGAAAAACAAAUAGAUGAUAUGUUGGAUCAAUUUUACAAAGCAGAUCCUAACUUUAAGGCUCACGAGUACAAUGAUUUACAAACUUUAUCCGUUCAAUUUCGACUAUUGAGACAACAUGGUUACAAUAUCUCCCCAAGUAGGUCUAUUCUACACAUGUUUUUCGUUUAUUGUUGUAUUUAUGUUUCUUGCUUACACCAAGGAAUUCUUUUUAUUGUUUUUUUCACUUUUUCUUACUAAAAGCUAAUCUUUUAUUUUUGUUCAUGAUCCAGAACUUUUUAUUAGAUUCCAAGAUGCAAAAGGCAAAUUUAAAGAAUCUCUUUGUAACGACAUCAAGGGUCUUUUGAACUUAUACGAAGCCUCACAUGUAAGGACUCAUGGAGAAGAUAUUUUGGAAGAGGCACUUGCUUUCUCUACUGCUCAUCUUGAAUCUGCAGCUCCACAUUUGAAGUCACCUCUGAGUAAGCAAGUGACACAUGCCCUUGAGCAAUCUCUCCAUAAGAGCAUUCCAAGAGUUGAGACGCGUUACUUCAUCUCUAUCUACGAAGAGGAGGAACAGAAGAAUGAUGUGUUGUUUCGAUUUGCAAAACUGGACUUCAACUUACUUCAGAUGUUGCACAAACAAGAACUCAGUGAAGUAUCAAGGUAUGCUAGUAAUUUAUAUGAAAAAUAAUACUGCUAUUAUUUGUUUAUAGUGACUCUCAAAAUCUGAUAUAUAUGUUGUUACUUACUUUGUAGGUGGUGGAAAGAUUUGGAUUUUGUGACAACCCUUCCAUAUGCUAGGGAUAGAGCAGUCGAAUGUUACUUUUGGACGAUGGGGGUGUAUGCUGAACCUCAAUACUCUCAGGCUCGUGUCAUGCUUGCUAAGACUAUAGCAAUGAUUUCUAUAGUAGAUGACACAUUCGAUGCUUAUGGCAUUGUAAAAGAACUUGAGAUCUACACCGAUGCCAUACAGAGGUAUGGACUACUUCUCAAACCAUUUUAUCAUUUAAUUGGAAGAUCCCAUAAAGGCGGGAAAAGACCAUAUCAAACAACAUAUUUGUGUUCAAUUUUAAUUUUUUGCCUACAUCUGAGACAAGCCAGUUAAUUCAAUAUUAAUCAGUUUAACCAAUUGUGAAGCUUUUUCUCCCAAUUUUUGUUUGUAAUGAAAUUUAUUCUUUGAAGAAGUACGGACGUUUGAAUUUCUUUUGGUUGUUAUCGACAGAUGAAAGAAAUCGUGAGAAACUAUUUUGUGGAAGCAAAAUGGUUCAUUGAAGGAUAUAUGCCGCCAGUCUCUGAGUAUCUUAGCAAUGCAUUAGCUACCAGCACUUAUUACUUGCUUACGACUACAUCUUAUUUGGGCAUGAAGUCUGCUAACAAGGAAGAUUUUGAAUGGUUGGCCAAGAAUCCUAAAAUUCUUGAGGCUAAUGUGACGUUAUGCCGAGUCAUUGAUGACAUAGCCACCUAUGAGGUUGAGAAGGGUAGAGGUCAGAUUGCAACUGGAAUUGAAUGUUACAUGAGAGAUUAUGGUGUAUCCACAGAAGAGGCCAUGGAAAAAUUCCAAGAAAUGGCUGAGACAGCAUGGAAGGAUGUAAAUGAAGGAAUCCUUCGACCAACUCCCGUCUCUACAGAGAUUCUCACUCGCAUUCUCAAUCUUGCUCGCAUUAUCGAUGUCACUUAUAAGCACAAUCAAGAUGGAUACACUCAUCCGGAAAAAGUACUAAAACCUCAUAUUAUUGCGUUGUUGGUGGACUCUAUUGAAAUUUAAAUCAUCGAUUGUUUUGUACAUCUGGGAGCACUUGCUUCCCAUCCCCUAAAAUUAUAAGUAUUUGAUUGAUGCCUUGUUGGUAUCUAUGCUGCUAGCUAAGAUAGGAGUUGCUGGAGAUGCAUGUUAUAGUGCAGUGCAGUUAAUUCCUUAAUUUUUUUUGUAUCAUUAUUGAC
rnacentral:lncRNA from 1 species